AUUGAACGCUGGCGGCAGGCCUAACACAUGCAAGUCGAGCGAGCGGCGGACGGGUGAGUAAUGUCUGGGAAACUGCCUGAUGGAGGGGGAUAACUACUGGAAACGGUAGCUAAUACCGCAUACCAUCAGAUGGGCACAGAUGGGCGUAGCUAGUCGGUGGGGUAACGUCUCCACUUGGCGACGCACCCUAGCUGGUCUGAGAGGAUGACCAGCCCCACGGGAACUGAGACACGGUCCAGACUCCUACGGGAGGCAGCCGUGGGGAAUAUUGCACAAUGGGCGCAAGCCGGAGGCAGCCAUGCCGCGUGUGUGAAGAAGGCCUUCGGGUUGUAAAGCACUUUCAGCGGGGAGGCGUUACCCGCAGAAGAAGCACCGGCUAACUCCGUGCCAGCAGCCGCGGUAAUAC
rnacentral:rRNA from 1 species